UAGAGUUUGAUCAUGGCUCAGAUUGAACGCUGGCGGCAGGCUUAACACAUGCAAGUCGAGCGGAGAUGAGGUGCUUGCACCUUAUCUUAGCGGCGGACGGGUGAGUAAUGCUUAGGAAUCUGCCUAUUAGUGGGGGACAACAUUUCGAAAGGAAUGCUAAUACCGCAUACGCCCUACGGGGGAAAGCAGGGGAUCUUCGGACCUUGCGCUAAUAGAUGAGCCUAAGUCGGAUUAGCUAGUUGGUGGGGUAAAGGCCUACCAAGGCGACGAUCUGUAGCGGGUCAGAGAGGAUGAUCCGCCACACUGGGACUGAGACACGGCCCAGACUCCUACGGGAGGCAGCAGUGGGGAAUAUUGGACAAUGGGGGGAACCCUGAUCCAGCCAUGCCGCGUGUGUGAAGAAGGCCUUUUGGUUGUAAAGCACUUUAAGCGAGGAGGAGGAGCUCUAGACUAAUACUCUAGAUGCUUGGACGUUACUCGCAGAAUAAGCACCGGCUAACUCUGUGCCAGCAGCCGCGGUAAUACAGAGGGUGCAAGCGUUAAUCGGAUUUACUGGGCGUAAAGCGUGCGUAGGUGGUCUUUUAAGUCGGAUGUGAAAUCCCUGAGCUUAACUUAGGAAUUGCAUUCGAUACUGGGAGACUAGAGUAUGGGAGAGGAUGGUAGAAUUCCAGGUGUAGCGGUGAUUUGCGUAGAGAUCUGGAGGAAUACCGAUGGCGAAGGCAGCCAUCUGGCCUAAUACUGACACUGAGGUACGAAAGCAUGGGGAGCAAACAGGAUUAGAUACC
rnacentral:rRNA from 1 species